GUUUGGCUUGGAAGGGACCUUAAAGAUCAUCUGGUUCCAAGCUGAGCAGCCUCCCAGCACAGCAGGUUGCUGCGGCCCCUGUCCAAGCUGGCCUUGGAUGUUCGUGGGCAUGGGUUGCUGACAAAGAGUCCUCUCCCACUUCCCUGUGGGUCAGGCUGUUCCUGCAGGGUCACACAUGUGGCUGAAGCUGCAGGCAGGAGAGAGAGAAGCCAAGCUGCCAGAGAGAGGAAAUGGGGAAAGUGACAUGAGAGAUGAGAGAAGAAGGAAAAAGUAGAGACAUGCAAGGCAUUGGGUUGGGUGGGCUGUGGGAUUCAUGCCUUUUAUUGGAGGCCAGGUUCUCUGGUGCACUCAAUGACUGUGUGAUUGCGGCGUGUCCACAGUGAGCCCGUGUGAGCGACCUGCACUGCCAGAGGCCGGAGCACACUUGCUUCAAGUGCUGAUGAAGGAGGCCAGAGACGGGUCUUUGUGUGGAACUCCAAACGCCGUGCAAUGCCAUGAAGAGGGUCCAGGGCCAGAGAGAAAAUGAGGCUGGGGUCUGAGGGUUUCAUUCGGGGGGGAGAAGGGGUGAAGCCAGGACCAGCAGGGGAGAAGAGAGAGGAGAACAUUCUCUGGAGAGUAGAUAUAAGGAAAAAAUGGCAGUUGAAGUGGGUGAUAGCAACAAAACCUGCGGAUUGCAAGAGCCUGCAAGUGGCCAUGGGUGAGAGCCUUGCAUUCAGAGGGGUUUCUCUGUUUCACCUUGGUCCCCUUUGCCCUAAGGUAUUACAGUUGCAAUGAGAGGCCCCUGGGCCUCCACAAGUGCCCCCUUUUUGUUUUCAAGAAUAAAGGCUUCUGCCAUGGA